rnacentral:rRNA from 1 species
GAUGAACGCUGGCGGCGUGCCUAAUACAUGCAAGUCGAGCGAACGGACGAUAAGCUUGCUUCUCUGAUGUUAGCGGCGGACGUGUGAGUCACACGUGUAUACCCUACCUAUAAGACUGGGAUCACUUCGGGAAUCCGGAGCUAAUCCCGGAUAAUCUUCUGCUCCACAUUGUUCAAUAGUGAAAUACGGUCUUGCUGUCACUUAUAGCUGGAUAUGGGCUGCAUUAGCUAGUUGGUACGGUAACGGCCUACCAAGGCUAGCAUGCAUAGCCGACGUAACAGGGUGAUCGGCCGCCCUGGAACUGAGACAGCGUCCAGACGACUGCGGGAGGCAGCAGUAGGGAAUCGUCCGCAAUGGGCGAAAGCCUGACGGAGCAACGCGGCGUGAGUGAUGAAGGUCUUCGGAUCGUAAAACUCUGUUAUGAGGGAAGAACAUAUGUGGAAUUAACCGUGCACAGCGUGACGGUACCUAAUCAGAAAGCAACGGCUAACUACGUG